GUUUUUAUAGUUUAAAAAAAACAUUGGUCUUGUAAACCAAAUUUAAGUUAUAUACUUUAAAAACU
rnacentral:tRNA from 1 species